CGGUUGAUCCUGCCGGAGGCCACUGCUAUGGGGGUCCGACUAAGCCAUGCGAGUCAUGGGGCGCGCUCUGCGCGCACCGGCGGACGGCUCAGUAACACGUCGGUAACCUACCCUCGGGAGGGGGAUAACCCCGGGAAACUGGGGCUAAUCCCCCAUAGGCCUGAGGUACUGGAAGGUCCUCAGGCCGAAAGGGUCUUUGACCGCCCGAGGAUGGGCCGGCGGCCGAUUAGGUAGUUGGUGGGGUAACGGCCCACCAAGCCGAAGAUCGGUACGGGCCAUGAGAGUGGGAGCCCGGAGAUGGACACUGAGACACGGGUCCAGGCCCUACGGGGCGCAGCAGGCGCGAAACCUCCGCAAUGCGGGCAACCGCGACGGGGGGACCCCCAGUGCCGUGGCAUCGCCACGGCUUUUCCGGAGUGUAAAAAGCUCCGGGAAUAAGGGCUGGGCAAGGCCGGUGGCAGCCGCCGCGGUAAUACCGGCGGCCCGAGUGGUGGCCGCUAUUAUUGGGCCUAAAGCGUCCGUAGCCGGGCCCGUAAGUCCCUGGCGAAACCCCACGGCUCAACCGUGGGGCUUGCUGGGGAUACUGCGGGCCUUGGGACCGGGAGAGGCCGGGGGUACCCCUGGGGUAGGGGUGAAAUCCUAUAAUCCCAGGGGGACCGCCAGUGGCGAAGGCGCCCGGCUGGAACGGGUCCGACGGUGAGGGACGAAGGCCAGGGGAGCGAACCGGAUUAGAUACCCGGGUAGUCCUGGCUGUAAAGGAUGCGGGCUAGGUGUCGGGCGAGCUUCGAGCUCGCCCGGUGCCGAAGGGAAGCCGUUAAGCCCGCCGCCUGGGGAGUACGGCCGCAAGGCUGAAACUUAAAGGAAUUGGCGGGGGAGCAC
rnacentral:rRNA from 1 species